AGCAGCCGCGGUAAUUCCAGCUCCAAUAGCGUAUAUUAACGUUGUUGCAGUUAAAAAGCUCGUAGUUGAAGUGUGGGUGAUCGCUGUUGUGAGACUUCGGUCUCUCGACAGUAAGUCACCCCCUUCCAGAAUCCAGUAGUGGGUAUUCACUUACUUACUAUUGUGUGUUGGUCCUUUACUGUGAGAAAAUUAGAGUGUUCAAAGCAGGCGUUUGCUUGAAUAGAUUAGCAUGGAAUAAUAAUUGAAGGCUUUCGUGUUCGAUUUGAUUGGUUUGUUCAUGGAAGCAAGGUUAAAAGGAACAGUUGGGGGUAUUCAUAUUCACUAGUUAGAGGUGAAAUUCUCGGAUUUAUGGAAGAUGAACAAGUGCGA
rnacentral:rRNA from 1 species